rnacentral:rRNA from 1 species
UACGUAGGGAGCAAGCGUUGUCCGGAAUCAUUGGGCGUAAAGCGCGCGUAGGUGGCCUCAUAAGUCCGUUGUGAAAGUCAAAGGCUCAACCUUUGAAAGCCGAUGGAUACUGUGAGACUAGAGUACGGAAGAGGCGAGUGGAAUUCCUGGUGUAGCGGUGGAAUGCGCAGAUAUCAGGAGGAACACCAAUAGCGAAGGCAGGUCACUGGGCCGCAACUGACGCUGAGGAGCGAAAGCAUGGGGAGCGAACAGG